GCCCGGAGCUGCUGGGCAGGAGCGGCGGCGCCGCCAUGUCCGACAGCGAGAAGUUCAACCUGGACUCCAUCAUCCGGCGCCUGCUGGAAGUGCAGGGCUCACGGCCUGGCAAGAAUGUGCAACUAACAGAGAACGAGAUCCGUGGUCUGUGCCUCAAAUCCCGGGAGAUUUUCCUGAGCCAGCCCAUUCUUCUGGAGCUUGAGGCGCCUCUCAAGAUCUGUGGUGACCUCCAUGGCCAAUACUAUGACCUUCUAAGGCUGUUUGAAUAUGGUGGCUUCCCUCCAGAGAGCAACUACCUCUUCUUGGGGGAUUAUGUGGAUCGUGGCAAGCAGUCUUUGGAGACCAUCUGCCUGCUGCUGGCCCAUAAGAUCAAAUACCCUGAGAAUUUCUUUCUGCUUCGUGGGAACCAUGAGUGUGCCAGCAUCAACCGCAUCUAUGGCUUCUAUGAUGAAUGUAAGAGACGAUACAACAUCAACUAUGGAAAACCUUCGCUGACUGCUUCAACUGCCUGCCCAUUGCAGCCAUCGUCGAUGAGAAGAUCUUCUGCUGCCAUGGAGGCCUGUCUCCAGACUUGCAACCCAUGGAACAGAUUAGGCGUAUUAUGCGGCCUACAGAUGUGCCUGACCAGGGCCUACUGUGUGAUCUCCUGUGGUCUAACACUGACAAGGAUGUUCAAGGCUGGGCCGAGAAGGACCGUGGUGUCUCCUUUACCUUUGGGGCUGAGGUGGUAGCCAAGUUCCUGCACAAGCGUGAUUUGGACCUCAUCUGCCGGGCACAUCAGCUUGUAGAAGAUGGCUAUGAGUUCUUUGCCAAGAGGCAGCUGGUGACACUCUUCUCAGCUCCCAACUACUGUGGCGAGUUUGACAAUGCUGGUGUAUGAUGAGGGUGGAUGAGACUCUUAUGUGCUCCUUCCAGAUCCUCAAGCCCGCUGAUAAGAACAAGGGGAAGUAUGGGGAGUUCAGUGGCCUGAACCCCGGAGGUCGUCCCAUCACCCCACCCCGGAACUCUGCCAAAGCCAAGAAAUAGCCUCCAUGUGCUGCCCUUCUGCCCCAGAUGAUGGAUUAUCUGUACAGAAAUCGUGCUGCCAUGGGUCAUUGGCCCCCC